AAGAUAUUAGAAAAACUAUUUCAUGGCUUCGUCAAGGCCAAGUUAUAGGUCAAACCCUAUAUAUCUUA
rnacentral:tRNA from 1 species